AGAGUUUGAUCCUGGCUCAGGACAAACGCUGGCGGCGUGCGUUAAACAUGCAAGUCGAACGGUGUAUGGGCUUCGGUUCGUGCAUAGUGGCGGACGGCUGAGUAGCACGUGGAUGACCUGCCGUGUUGUGAGGAAUAGCGAUCGGAAACGGUCGGUAAUACCGCAUGAGCUCGCUGGCGUGGAAGUUGGUGAGGAAAGCUCUGUGAGGGGCGCGAGAUGAGGGGUCCGCGGCCCAUCAGGUAGUUGGUGGGGUAAAGGCCUACCAAGCCGAAGACGGGUGGCUGGUCUGAGAGGAUGGUCGGCCAGACUGGGACUGGGAACGGCCCAGACACCUACGGGUGGCAGCAGUUAGGAAUCUUGCGCAAUGGGCGGAAGCCUGACGCAGCGACGCCGCGUGAGGGAGGACGGCCUUCGGGUUGUAAACCUCUUUUCAUUGGGACGAGGUAGGACGGUACCGAUGGAAGAAGCACCGGCUAACUCCGUGCCAGCAGCCGCGGUAAUACGGAGGGUGCGAGCGUUGUCCGGAUUCACUGGGCGUAAAGGGCGCGUAGGCGGCUUGAUCAGUCGGGUGUGAAAGGCUGGGGCUUAUCCCUGGUGAGCAUUCGGGACGGUUAAGCUGGAGCGUGGUAGAGGGGUAUGGAAUGCCGGGUGUAGUGGUGAAAUGCGUAGAUAUCCGGCGGAACACCGGUGGCGAAGGCGGUACCCUGGGCCAUAGCUGACGCUGAGGCGCGAGAGCGUGGGGAGCGAACCGGAUUAGAUACCCUGGUAGAAUCACUAGUGAAUUC
rnacentral:rRNA from 1 species